AGAGUUUGAUCAUGGCUCAGGAUGAACGCUAGCAGCAAGCCUAAUACAUGCAAGUCGAACGGUAGGAUCAGCUUGCUGAUCUGAGAGUGGCGAACGGGUGCGUAACACGUAUGUAAUCUACCUUUAACUAAGGGAUAGCCUUCCGAAAGGGAGAUUAAUACCUUAUAUUAUUAAGUAUCGGCAUCGAUAUUUACUGAAAGCCUUGGCGGUUAAAGAUGAACAUGCGGGACAUUAGCUAGUUGGUAGGGUAACGGCUUACCAAGGCUACGAUGUCUAGGGGCUCUGAGAGGAUUGUCCCCCACACUGGUACUGAGACACGGACCAGACUCCUACGGGAGGCAGCAGUAAGGAAUAUUGGUCAAUGGGCGCAAGCCUGAACCAGCUAUGCCGCGUGCAGGACGACAGCCCUAUGGGUUUUAAACUGCUUUUAUACGUGAAUAACAACUAUUACGAGUUAGUAGCUUGAAUGUAACGUAAGAAUAAGGAUCGGCUAACUCCGUGCCAGCAGCCGCGGUAAUACGGAGGAUCCGAGCGUUAUCCGGAUUUAUUGGGUUUAAAGGGUGCGUAGGCGGUUUUUUAAGUCAGAGGUGAAAAGCUGGAGCUCAACUCCAGUCGUGCCUUUGAAACUGGAAGACUUGAGUUCAGAUGAAGUUGGCGGAAUGUGACAAGUAGCGGUGAAAUGCUUAGAUAUGUCCCAGAACUCCGAUUGCGAAGGCAGCUGACUAAGCUGAAACUGACGCUGAGGCACGAAAGCGUGGGUAUCAAACAGGAUUAGAUACCCUGGUAGUCCACGCCCUAAACGAUGAUUACUCGUUGUCGGCGAUACACAGUCGGUGACUUAGCGAAAGCGUUAAGUAAUCCACCUGGGGAGUACGACCGCAAGGUUGAAACUCAAAGGAAUUGACGGGGGCCCGCACAAGCGGAGGAGCAUGUGGUUUAAUUCGAUGAUACGCGAGGAACCUUACCCGGGCUUGAAAGUUAGUGACGGUGUUAGAAAUAGCACUUUGAGCAAUCACACGAAACUAGGUGCUGCAUGGCUGUCGUCAGCUCGUGCCGUGAGGUGUUGGGUUAAGUCCCGCAACGAGCGCAACCCCUAUGUUUAGUUGCCAGCACGUUAAGGUGGGGACUCUAAACAGACUGCCUGCGCAAGCAUGGAGGAAGGUGGGGACGACGUCAAGUCAUCAUGGCCCUUACGUCCGGGGCUACACACGUGCUACAAUGGUAGAUACAGCGGGGAGCGAUCUGGUAACAGCUAGCCAAUCCCUAAAAGUCUAUCCCAGUUCGGAUUGAGGUCUGCAACUCGACCUCAUGAAGUUGGAUUCGCUAGUAAUCGCGUAUCAGCAAUGACGCGGUGAAUACGUUCCCGGGCCUUGUACACACCGCCCGUCAAGCCAUGAAAGCUGGGGGUGCCUGAAGACUGUAGCCGCAAGGAGCGGUUCAGGGCGAAACCGGUAAUUAGGGCUAAGUCGUAACAAGGUA
rnacentral:rRNA from 1 species